CUGGGACGUUAAAUGCAAUCUGAUGAAAUGAAGAUAAUCAGGAAACAAAGAUGCACUUUUGAUUUCUGUCAAGAGUUUUCCUCAAAUGUUCUCUAUAAAUCAUCUUGCAGUUUCACUGGAAGGAUGAUUCACACCAAGAGCUGCAGCUAAUCCCUUGAAGCCAAAGGAAGCUGUGCUGAUCAUGUCUAUAUGGCAAAGAUAGGACUGCCUGGGGAGGGAGACUUCC